GAGAAGCCUGCGCUUGCUGGGGGACUUGCUGGUGGGGCAGUGCUGUGUGGAAGGGCUGUGCUCACACCAUGAGAUGAGGCCAUCUAACAGACGAAGCAUGCAGGAUUUGCACUGACCGACGCCUGCACGGCUUCAGAGCUGUUUAUGGAUGUAAGGCUUGUCGUGGCUCUUCUCCCAGACACCUCGCUGCUGUCACAGCUCAGCGUUUGCCAUAUGUUUCAGCCCAGUGCUCGAAGCCUAAUAAAAAUGUCUAGCUGUAAAUCACCAGAGGUGUAGGCUGUGACCCUCUUUACUCCUACCUCUUCCACCACCUCUCAGCCACCCUUUUCCAGGGGGAAAAAAAAAGUCAUUAUGGUUGCUCUCAAGGAAGGUGAAACACAUUGCUGACAUGACCAGUGCCUCCCUCCGUGCUUGUGUGGCUGACUCAUUGGACGGUGUGGCUAAACCUGGCCUUACAAGUUG
rnacentral:lncRNA from 1 species